CCUACGGGAGGCUGCAGUAAGGAAUAUUGGUCAAUGGAGGAAACUCUGAACCAGCCAUCCCGCGUGAAGGAUGAAGGGGCUCUGCCUUGUAAACUUCUUUUGUCUGGGGCGAAAAAGCUCGAUUUAUCGAGAACUGACGGUACCAGAAGAAUAAGCACCGGCUAACUCCGUGCCAGCAGCCGCGGUCAUACGGAGGGUGCAGGCGUUACCCGGAAUCACUAGGUCUAAGGGGUGCGUAGGCGGCUGUGUAGGAAGGCUGUGGCUUAACCAUGGAAGUGCCAUUGAUACUGCAGAGCUUGAAUGAGGUUGAGGUUGGCGGAAUGUGACAUGUAGCGGUGAAAUGCUUAGAUAUGUCAUGGAACACCGAUUGCGAAGGCAGCUGACUGGACCUAUAUUGACGCUGAGGCACGAAAGCGUGGGGAGCGAACAGGAUUAGAUACCCCAGUAGUC
rnacentral:rRNA from 1 species